rnacentral:lncRNA from 1 species
AAAAAAAUUUGUGACAUUAUCCGUGUAGAAUACCGAACUUCUAAAAUUAUGAAGUUACGGUGGGAUGUAAUAUGCGGAUUUUAAUAUAAAAAGGAAAAUAAAUAAAAAUAGUAUGAGAUACUAUUUUUAUUAGAUUUAGAGAAGUGAAAUAUAAGUCUGGAAUGACCCGUGUUGAAAUCAGAGCGAAAACAGAAGAUUUAGAUUUUCUGUGAGAAACGGGGCAGAUAAAUUAGCAGAAAAUGCACAGUCUCAAAAAAUUAUGAAAAUUGGCGGGGAUGCCAAAAAUAUUUUAAUGAGGCUAGAUUUAAAGU